rnacentral:rRNA from 3 species
UCAACGGAUAAAAGGUACUCCGGGGAUAACAGGCUGAUACCGCCCAAGAGUUCAUAUCGACGGCGGUGUUUGGCACCUCGAUGUCGGCUCAUCACAUCCUGGGGCUGAAGUAGGUCCCAAGGGUAUGGCUGUUCGCCAUUUAAAGUGGUACGCGAGCUGGGUUUAGAACGUCGUGAGACAGUUCGGUCCCUAUCUGCCGUGGGCGCUGGAGAACUGAGGGGGGCUGCUCCUAGUACGAGAGGACCGGAGUGGACGCAUCACUGGUGUUCGGGUUGUCAUGCCAAUGGCACUGCCCGGUAGCUAAAUGCGGAAGAGAUAAGUGCUGAAAGCAUCUAAGCACGAAACUUGCCCCGAGAUGAGUUCUCCCUGAGACUUAG